rnacentral:rRNA from 1 species
AGGAUCAUUACUGAAUUAAUGAAGGGUUGUCGCUGGUUCCUUUGGGAGCACUGUGCACGCCCUUCACUUAUUUCAUCUUCAACCAAUUGUGCACUUCUGUAGGCUACGACACUGCUCAGUCUUCGGACUGGAUGGAGGGACUUGCGUUUUAGCUGUCCUUCAAUGUUGUAGUCUAUGCCUAUCUAUAUACAAAAAAGUCAGAAUGUCUUGUUUAUUAGGUCUUUGCGCCUAUAAAACUUUAUACAACUUUCAACAACGGAUCUCUUGGCUCUCGCAUCGAUGAAGAACGCAGCGAAAUGCGAUAAGUAAUGUGAAUUGCAGAAUUCAGUGAAUCAUCGAAUCUUUGAACGCACCUUGCACCCCUUGGUAUUCCGAGGGGUAUGCCUGUUUGAGUGUCAUUAAAUUCUCAACUCUUUAAAUCGUUGUAAUGACGAUUUGAAGACGUUGGAUGUGGAGGCUUUUGCUGGCUUUUCAUUAAGUCAGCUCCUCUUAAAUGCAUUAGUGGUUACUGUUCUUUUCCACUUUGGUGUGAUAGUCUAUCUACGCCUAUAGUGAAAGAUGUCAGUGUAGCUGCUUUCAAACCGUCUGGACUUUACUGCACAAUUUUGAACUGUUUGACCUCAAAUCACGUAGGAUUACC